UCAGUGAAAUAAAAGUGUUAUUCCACUGGCUAGUUGUUUUUACCUAAAAUGAUUGUAAAAUCAUAAAAUAAAUAGAACAUUACGCAUUCGUGAAAAUAUAAGUUUUCUUGCUUCUCGAUGAAAUAAAAUAUGUUAUUCACUCUAAAACGACAAAUAUCCUCUAUGUAUGUAAUUUAGCAUCGAUAUUGUUUUUGUGUAUAAUAUUAGUAUUUCGUUUCCUUAAAAAAAACUCCAACAAUUUAACCCGGAAGUUCAUGUUUAAAAUGGCGGGCGGGGACAGGGAAAAAAUUUCGGCAUGUUAUUAUCAAAUCUGUUCAAUUUUUCUGAAAUCGUGCUUAAUUAACAUUAGUUGUUCGGCGCUACGAUGUUGUUCAAAUACGUACAUUACAGAAUCACAUUAUGAUUAAACCAGAAACGGCUCGACUUGAACCAGCAGGUAAGAAUCUGUUUUGAAAUUAUAUCUUGGGAGGUUGGAUUGGAUUGGCGGCCAUUUUGAUUCUUGUUUCAUGAUUUUUUAUAUUAUAAAGAUUUUGCCAAGAGUAGACAUAAACGCGGGCACAGACUAGAAAAAAUCUUUUUACACUUUUGUUCAGUGAUGAUAUGACUCAUUCCACCUUACAGUUACAGCAAUUACCGUAUUGAGAAUUUACCGUUCAAGGACUCCAUUUUGGCAUUGAAUUGGAAUUUGAAGAAAAACUGUUUCAAUAUUGGAUGUAUAUGCAAAUCACCCAGGAAAAGAUCAUGUAACAAAAGAAAUUAUAAAAGUAAAAAAAUGGAAGAAGAAAUGGCUGGAAAAAAUGAUGAUAGAGCAGCUUUUUCUUGUUAGCCACCUCGGAAGAUCAAGACAGCUGGAAAGGGCUAUUGAUAUUGUGGAAGUGUUUUCUUACACAGGUUGCUUAUCAGACAAAGGCUAUUUAACUACAUCAGAAAGAUAAAAACAGUUGGAAAUGGCUAUUCAUAUUGUGGAAACUUUUCUCACAGAGCUUGAUAAUCAGGCAAAAUGCUGGAACACCCUUGAAAGAGUAUUUGAUGUAUGAUAACAACAAGAGAACCCAAGCAUCAAUUUAUUUUAUACUUCUGGGAAAGAAUGCAUUUGACCCAAUUUUUAAAUAUUUAUUUUUUGUUAUUAAUGUUAAAUUUUCUUCCAAAACACAAUUAGAUUUUAAUUCUCUUCAAAUAUGUAUGCAUAAUAUAGCAAGUAAACUGACAUAUAAAUCACUUAGAAUUUGGUCGGAAAUCAUAAAGUAUUUAAUAGGCAUUACUAGAAACCAAAUGUAGAUCAAAUACACCCAGAAUUACAAAAAACCUUGACCUACAUUAAGGUGACUUUCCCUUGCUUAUGAAAUGAAAUACGUUUUAAUAUCCUGCUUUUCUGUGUUCUUAGUGAUUCUACCCUACCCUUAUAUCAAAUAUUUCAACUGUCAAGGGUUCUUUAAAGGGUACCCAGGGGGGCCGAAUGGUUAACACGCACACAUUUGAUCAGAAGGUCUGUCAUUGAUUCAAAUAAUUCAAUUUUCAAGGGUUCUUCAAAGCGUACGCAGUUGGGUUGGUUUCAAUUCUGGGGGGUGGGGGUGGAUGGCCGAAUGGUUAGCACGUGCAUGCUGUAUCAUACGGCCUCCUGUCAUUGAGUCAACUGGCAUGGUUUCGAAUCCCGGGUUGUAGACAAGGAGU